rnacentral:rRNA from 1 species
UUGUUACGAGACCGAUAGCGAACAAGUACCGUGNAGGNAAGUUNAAAAGAACUUUGAAGAGAGAGUUCAAGAGUACGUGAAANCGUUCAGGGGUAAACCUGUGAAACCCAAAAGAUCGAAUGGGGAGAUUCAUCGUCAGCGUUUUUAGUAUUAAUGCAAGCUAUGAUGUGAUAAUAGAAUCCUUGUGGUCACUANAUUAUACUUGCUUGUAUUAUUUUUGCUAAAUUCGUCGGCGUGCACUUCUCCUCUAGUAGAACGUCGCAACCUGNUNGAUGUUUAUCUAUGGCUCAANUGGUAGCCUUUAGUAUUUAUUAUACUGAAGACCUUUNGGUGUCCUGAUAAACUGUUUGACAGUAUACAUAUGGUAUUGAGCCGCAAUUAUNNNUUGCGUUAGACUUACCGCAAGCAUGAUUUUCUU